rnacentral:rRNA from 1 species
AGAGUUUGAUCCUGGCUCAGAAUCAACGCUGGCGGCGUGCCUAACACAUGCAAGUCGAACGAGAAAGUGGAGCAAUCCAUGAGUAAAGUGGCGACCGGGUGAGUAACACGUGACUAACCUACCUUCCAGUGGGGGAUAACAUCGGGAAACCGAUGCUAAUACCGCAUAACAUCGCAAGAUCAAAGCAGCAAUGCGCUGGAAGAGGGGGUCGCGGCUGAUUAGCUAGUUGGCGGGGUAACGGCCCACCAAGGCGAAGAUCGGUAGCCGGCCUGAGAGGGCGCACGGCCACACUGGAACUGAAACACGGUCCAGACUCCUACGGGAGGCAGCAGUGGGGAAUUUUGCGCAAUGGGGGAAACCCUGACGCAGCAACGCCGGGUGGAGGAUGAAGCCCCUUGGGGCGUAAACUCCUUUCGACCAAGACGAUAAUGACGGUACUGGUGGAAGAAGCACCGGCUAACUCUGUGCCAGCAGCCGCGGUAAUACAGAGGGUGCGAGCGUUGUUCGGAAUUAUUGGGCGUAAAGGGCGCGUANGCGGUGCCACAAGUCACCUGUGAAAUCUCUGGGCUUAACUCAGAGCCUGCAGGCGAAACUGUGGUGCUGGAGUAUGG